rnacentral:rRNA from 1 species
UACGUAGGGGGCAAGCGUUGUCCGGAUUUAUUGGGCGUAAGGAGCGUGUAGGCGGCCAUGCAGGUCCGUUGUGAAAACUCGAGGCUCAACCUCGAGACGCCGGUGGAAACCGUGUGGCUAGAGUCCGGAAGAGGAGAGUGGAAUUCCUGGUGUAGCGGUGAAAUGCGCAGAUAUCAGGAAGAACACCCGUGGCGAAGGCGGCUCUCUGGGACGGUACUGACGCUGAGACGCGAAAGCGUGGGGAGCAAACAGG